rnacentral:rRNA from 1 species
UAUUUUAAGAUGAGAGUUUGAUCCUGGCUCAGGACGAACGCUGGCGGCGUGCCUAAUACAUGCAAGUCGAACGCGUCUUGGUUAUUGAUGUUAAGUGCUUGCAUUUAACUGAUUUAACAUUGAGACGAGUGGCGAACUGGUGAGUAACACGUGGGUAACCUGCCC